rnacentral:rRNA from 1 species
GAUGAACGCUGGCUACAGGCUUAACACAUGCAAGUCGAGGGGAAACGGCAUUGAGUGCUUGCACUGAAUGGACGUCGACCGGCGCACGGGUGAGUAACGCGUAUCCAACCUUCCCGUUACUGCGGGAUAACCUGCCGAAAGGCAGACUAAUACCGCAUGUUCUUCGAUGACGGCAUCAGAUUCGAAGCAAAGACUCGUCGGUAACGGAGGGGGAUGCGUCUGAUUAGCUUGUUGGCGGGGCGACGGCCCACCAAGGCGACGAUCAGUAGGGGUUCUGAGAGGAAGGUCCCCCACAUUGGAACUGAGACACGGUCCAAACUCCUACGGGAGGCAGCAGUGAGGAAUAUUGGUCAAUGGGCGGAAGCCUGAACCAGCCAAGUAGCGUGCAGGAUGACGGCCCUACGGGUUGUAAACUGCUUUUAUGCGGGGAUAAAUGUGAGGG